rnacentral:lncRNA from 1 species
UUACACAUCUAACAAGUGCCAUGCGGAGCUUUUAGACACAGGAAAUCUUGUUGUGAUUGAUGAUGUUUCAGGGAAAACAUUAUGGCAAAGCUUCGAGAAUCUUGGUAAUACUUUGCUGCCUCAGUCAUCGUUGAUGUAUGAUACUCCCAGUGGGAAGAAGCGUGUGUUGACGACAUGGAAAAGUGACAGCGAUCCAGCGCCUGGGGAGUUCUCACUGGAGAUUACACCACAAGUCCCCUUACAAGGCCUUAUAAGGAAAGGCUCGAUGCCUUACUGGAGAACUGGUCCAUGGGCAAAAACAAGAUUCACUGGUUUUCCACAAUUUGAUGAAUCAUAUGUGAGUCCAUUCAGCGUUAUCCAGGAUGUAGCAACCGGCACAGGAUCUUUCUCUUAUUCCAUGUUAAGAAACUUUAAUCUAUCAUAUAUUACCAUGACUCCUGAGGGGCAAAUGAAGAUUUAUUGGGAUGAUGGCAUUAGAUGGAUGCAUCACCUCACGCUUCCAGAAAGCUCAUGUGACAUAUACGGUGCUUGCGGGCCUUUUGGACUGUGCGUGAGAGCCACUACCCCGAAGUGCAAAUGCUUGAAAGGGUUUGUACCAAAGUCUAAUGAAGAGUGGAGAAAAGGGAAUUGGACAAGAGGGUGUGUGAGGCGUACACAACUACCUUGCCAGGCGAAUUCUUCUAUAAAAACACAAAGCAGCCACACAGACAUCUUCUAUCGUGUUACCAAUGUAAAGACUCCGGAUCUGCACCAUUUUGCAAGCUUUCUCGAUGCAGAACAAUGCUACCAGGGUUGUCUAGGCAACUGUUCAUGCACAGCUUUUGCCUAUAUAAGUGGAAUUGGAUGCUUAGUAUGGAAUGGAGAACUCGUAGACACAGUUCGAUUUUUGUCUAAUGGAGAAACUCUCUCCAUCCGUCUUGCGAGUUCAGAAUUGGGUUAGGGUGAAACACAUCUCUUCUAGAGAUUUUAAUAUUCGACCUUCUUUAUAAUGUUCUGAAGCAGAGUGGUUGAAAGUUUUGUUUUCUGGUGAAUAUCUCAGCUGGAAGCAGUCGUAUCAAGAUCAUUGUAGGAACUACGGCCAGCCUUUCCAUUUUCGCGAUCUUGGUAUUUGCAGCAUUUAUGUUCUGGAGAUGCAGAGCAAAACAAAAUGGUGAGACACUGUAAAACUUAGCAGCUUUAUUUCUCCUCAUUUUUUCCUCUUAAUCUACAUUAAUUGUUAUAAGAUAUAUCAAAGCUUGAUUCCUAAGGGCUAAUCUGAUCACUUCUAUUGGACACCUUUGGAUGCUAAACUGUUACAAAUCAAGCCACUAAUAUAUGCACAUUUGUUUCUCGUAGAACCAACUCCUGUUGGCAUCGAUACUAUACAAGAUGCAUGGAAGAAUGAUUUCGAACCACAAGAUAUAUCAGGCAUAAAGUUUUUUGAGAUGCAUACCAUACGAACUGCCACCAAUAACUUCAGUUCCGCAAAUAAACUUGGUCAAGGUGGAUUUGGUCCGGUUUACAAGGUACGUGACAAUCUAUUCCAUUUGCUUCUUUUUUGCUCUUCUGUAUAUUUCUUGUUCUCCAGAUUUAUCUGAAACUUUACUUCCAGGGAAUUCUGCUAGAUGGGAAGGAAAUAGCAGUUAAGCGCCUUUCUAGCAGCUCAGAUCAGGGUACAGGAGAGUUCAUGAAUGAAAUAACACUAAUCUCAAAACUACAACAUAGAAACUUGGUUCGGCUUUUGGGAUACUGCAUCGAAGGAGAAGAGAAGUUGUUGAUUUAUGAGUUUAUGGUGAACAAAAGCCUCGAUAUCUUUCUCUUUGGUAUUUCCUUUAUUCCAUUUACCUCUUUAUUUUCCUUUUCCUUCCAUCAUAUGAUAAUAGUUAAUGAGUCACUAUCACUAAUCUAUUUUAACUUAUUGGCUAGAUUCAACUCUAGCGCUUGAGCUUGAUUGGCCUAAGAGAUUCGAUAUCAUUCAAGGUAUUACGCGUGGACUUCUCUAUCUCCACCGCGACUCACGCCUUAGAGUCAUUCACCGAGAUCUGAAGGUUAGCAAUAUUCUUCUGGAUGAGAAGAUGAUCCCAAAAAUAUCAGAUUUUGGAUUGGCUCGGAUGUUUCAGGGAACCCAAUAUCAAGACAACACCCGCAGGGUUGUAGGAACUCUGUAAGAACCUGUCCUCAACAACAUAUGCUUAACAAGGAUUCAUACUUUAUCAUCAUAUAUUAACUUGAUUUCAUAUUUUUACAGAGGAUAUAUGUCACCUGAGUAUGCAUGGGCAGGAUUGUUCUCUGAGAAGUCUGACAUCUAUAGCCUCGGAGUUUUAAUAUUGGAAAUCAUCAGCGGCAAGAAGAUUUCAAGGUUCACCUUUGGCGAUGGGAGCAAAGGUCUUCUUGCAUAUGUAAGUGAUACAUUUACUGUUAUUUGAUAUGAUUCUAAUCAAGUGCAGACAUUUCCCGUUGCCAUUUCAAAACAUUUUCGUAUUCCUUAUUUCAGGCAUGGGAAUCUUGGUGCGAGACCGGCGGAUUUAAUUUCCUGGAUAGAGAUCUUACUGAUUCGUGCAAUGCGUUUGAAGUUGCGAGAUGUGUUCAGAUUGGUCUUCUCUGUGUCCAACACGAAGCUGCAGACAGACCAAACACUCUCCAAGUGCUGUCCAUGAUUACUACAACAACAGAUCUUCCAACUCCAAAACAGCCAAUAUUCGCAAUGCAAACUCUUGACAAUGUGUUAAUGUCAGACACUAAGUCUAAUGAUCUUAUCUCUGUCAAUGAGUUAACACAAUCUGUUAUCCAAGGACGAUAAGCUCUUAUUAUAGAUAUAUAUUCUUCUGUAUGUAGAUUCAUGAACCUAUGAUUUUGAUAUCUUGUAGAGCGGAUUAAACUGAUCUCUGCAAAAUUUUAAUCUUUUGUCAGUCCUUGGGUGGUUGAUUCUCUUCCUUUUUUUGAUUCUCAUCGCAAACUCCACUAUAAUCGAACAGGGUUUUCACAUGCUACCAUCAUUUGAUCUUAUAGGUUAUACAGAAACUGUGAUGCAAGAAAAAACACGAGGUAAAGAAGAUACAAGCUCAUGUAGAAGAUGAAGUCGUGAAGAUGCCUUAUCCUCUGUUUUUUGUAUCGGCAACAGACUCGCAACUAACUUCUUCUCCUUAUCCUCUGCGUUUUGUAACCAGGCCUCUUUUAAUAAUUGGCCCAAGAGUCUUCUUCUUUAUCUUGUAUACAAUGCACAUAAGCCCAAACAUUUUGGCCCGUUUAACUUAAACCGGAGUAAACUGGUAUGACCCGGAAGCUUGAUUCGUUUGACCCGAAGACAACCAACUCACAAUCAUCUUCCUAAUUUCUCAAUCAAAAUACAAAAGUCCUUCUCUUAUGCGUUUUGUUCUUCUUUGAGACUUGUGUGAAAGCCAUGUGAAUGUGUUUUGUUUCGGAUAAAGCGUAAAGUGCCUCUUCAGCAAUUUAAUGGCGUAAUGUCUUCUCUUAGCUAGGCUUUGAAAUUGUAUGUCUUCGGAGGUCUGGAUUACGCACUGUAAGUGUUCGAUGGAAUGCCUGAACGAGAUGUAAAGUUUCAGUGGUGAUGUUUAGACACGUACAGUGUUUCAGGUGAGCUUCUUCUAGGUUUUUGAAAUCUUCAUUUUACAGCUUGCAACUUUGUUUGUCAAUAUGCAGUUUAAAGCUACUAAAUCUGUAUCCUCAUUUGGAAAAUGAAUAAGCCGCAAAGUUAUUUGCUAAGUAGGUUGACUUAUGAGAAGACUAAAUGAGAGAAAAGAAGAAGUCAAUUACUAGAUGCAAACUUAUAUGAAGAGUAACAUGCCAUUUCUUGGUCAAGGCUGUCAAUAUAUUAGAAUUUAAAUGCGUAUGCUUAGAUUAUAAAAGAAGAAAAUAUAAUCUUUUAUUGUCAAUGUCAAUGCUCCUAGUAUAUAGAGGAUAUACCGAAAGUAUUUAGUUCCUAGGUCUCAGUGAUCUCUGUUCAAGUUUUCAGAAGAAAUCUUUCAGAGAAAUAGGAAUACGCAUAAGAAAAAUGGGUAUAGUUUUCUUUAGUUUCUUGCUCCUACUAAUGGUAUUCCCAACUUGUGGCUAUGCAGCUAUAAACACAUCAAGUCCUUUGUCGAUAGGACAAACUCUGAGUUCCCCUGCUGGAUUCUUUGAGUUAGGUUUCUUCUGUCCUAAUAAUACUCGGAAUCAGUAUCUUGGGAUCUGGUUUAAGAAAAUUGUUCCUCGGGUGGUUGUGUGGGUGGCUAACAGAGAUACUCCAGUUACAAACUCUGCGGCAAAUCUCACCAUCAGCAUCAAUGGGAGCCUGAUAUUGCUUGAUGAGAAACAAAAAGUUAUUUGGUCAACAGGAGAGGCUUUCACAUCCAACAAGUGUCAUGCAGAGCUUUUAAACACCGGAAAUCUUGUUGUUGUUGAUGAUGUUUCAGGGAAAACGUUAUGGCAAAGCUUCGAGAAUCUUGGUAAUACUUUGCUGCCUCAGUCAUCGUUGAUGUAUGAUACUCCCAGUGGGAAGAAGCGUGUGUUGACGACAUGGAAAAGUGACAGCGAUCCAGCGCCU